rnacentral:rRNA from 1 species
AGCAGCCGCGGUAAUUCCAGCUCCAAUAGCGUAUAUUAAAGUUGUUGCAGUUAAAAAGCUCGUAGUUGAAUUUCGGGGUUAGUAGGUUGGUCGUGCCAAUGGUAUGCACUGGCCUCACUGAUUCCUCCUUCUUGAUGAACCUUAAUGCCAUUAAUUUGGUGUUUUGGGGAAUCUGGACUGUUACUUUGAAAAAAUUAGAGUGUUUAAAGCAAGCUAACGCUUGAAUACAUUAGCAUGGAAUAAUGAGAUAGGACGUUCGGUCUUAUUUUGUUGGUUUCUAAGAUUGACGUAAUGAUUAAUAGGGAUAGUUGGGGGCAUUAGUAUUCAAUUGUCAGAGGUGAAAUUCUUGGAUUUAUUGAAGACUAACUACUGCGAAAGCAUUUGCCAAGGAUGUUUUCAUUAAUCAAGAACGAAAGUUAGGGGAUCGAAGACGAUCAGAUACCGUCGUAGUCUUAACCAUAAACUAUGCCGACUAGGGAUCGGAUGAUGUUAAUUUUUUAAUGACUCA